UACGUAGGGUGCAAGCGUUGUCCGGAAUUAUUGGGCGUAAAGAGCUUGUAGGUGGUUUGUCGCGUUGUUCGUGAAAACCGGAGGCUUAACCUUCGGCGUGCGGGCGAUACGGGCAGACUGGAGUACUGCAGGGGAGACUGGAAUUCCUGGUGUAGCGGUGAAAUGCGCAGAUAUCAGGAGGAACACCGGUGGCGAAGGCGGGUCUCUGGGCCGAUACUGACGCUGAGGAGCGAAAGCGUGGGGAGCAAACAGG
rnacentral:rRNA from 1 species